rnacentral:lncRNA from 1 species
UUGGAUGUUUUACCACAUCCACCUAUGAAACUAAUACUCACACUACUCUACAGCCACCCCACAACCCCCGACAAACCACCACGAAACUAGAAGACCCGUUUGAACCUGGUUAGACCAAAAACAGCCUUCCCCUCUACUAUAGAUUCACUACUUUUUGUUGCCUAUCCAUUAGAAGCAUCGAAACCCACCAUCACCGUCACCCUCAUUAUUCCGAAGAAGCUGAAAACGGACGCAGAACCAUGAUCACGUCAACCGAAUCCAUUCUUUCAUCACCAUCCGACCAUUUCUAAACCAUCGCAGUUGACGAUAUUUCUCCGGAAACUCUUCAAUUAAUCCGAUCUGCUAUUUAUCUCAAAUUAAGGGAUUAUGACAUAAUUCACUAUUUUGGAUUUGUGGUCAUCGCUUUGGAAAGUUUAAGUAUGCAGUUGAUAGACGAAGUGAUGAAGAAAUCAAGUUAGGGUGGACUAGAAACUCACCUAGAAAAUAAACUAUGUUUGAAAUUUGAUUUAUGUUUUGACUUAAUCAAGAUUGUCACAAAUAGUGUUAUGUUGUUUUGAGCAAUUUAGUCGUCUCAUCCCGAUGUUUCCGCCAUCGGUUGGGGUGUGACACCUAUCCAUUAGAAGCAUCGAAACCCACCAUCACCGUCACCCUCAUUAUUCCGAAGAAACUGAAAACGGACGCAGAACCAUGAUCACGUCAACCGAAUCCAUUCUUUCAUCACCAUCCGAC